GAUGAACGCUAGCGAUAGGCCUAACACAUGCAAGUCGAGGGGCAUCACAUGAAGUAGCAAUACGGAUGGUGGCGACCGGCGCACGGGUGAGUAACACGUAUGCAACCUGCCUUCAACAAGGGGAUAACCCGUUGAAAGACGGACUAAUACCCUAUAACACAGGGGUCCCGCAUGGGAAUAUUUGUUAAAGGACAACCGGUUGAAGAUGGGCAUGCGUUCCAUUAGCUAGUUGGCGGGGUAACGGCCCACCAAGGCAACGAUGGAUAGGGGAACUGAGAGGUUUAUCCCCCACACUGGUACGUGAGACACGGACCAGACUCCUACGGGAGGCAGCAGUGAGGAAUAUUGGUCAAUGGACGCAAGUCUGAACCAGCCACGUCGCGUGAAGGAAGACGGCCCUACGGGUUGUAAACUUCUUUUAUACGGGAAUAAAUGCCCCACGCGUGGGGUUUUGCAUGUACCGUAUGAAUAAGGAUCGGCUAACUCCGUGCCAGCAGCCG
rnacentral:rRNA from 1 species